rnacentral:rRNA from 1 species
CUCUUGAAAUAUUUCAAGUAACCUCUGCCCUAUGAAUAGUUUAAAUGGCCGCAGUACUUUGACUGUGCAAAGGUAGCAUAAUCACUUGUCUUUUAAUUGGGGACUGGAAUGAAGGAGGCGACGAAAUUUAGGCUAUUUGGUUAUAAGAUAAAAUUAACAUAAAGGUCAAAAGGCUUUUAUAAACCAAAGGGACGAUAAGACCCUAUAAAACUUUACUAUACAAUAGAUUACCAAGGUAAGAUUUAAAUUAUAGUUUAACUGGGGCGGUUUGUAUAAAAACAAUAGUAAUGUUAAUAUUUUUAAUAGACCUAGAGAGCUCUAAUAGGAAAAGAACAAGUUACUUUAGGGAUAACAGCAUAAUUCUCCCAGAGAGUCCUAAUUGGCGGGAGAGCUUAUGACCUCGAUGUUGAAUUGGGAUAUCUAAUGUAAGUAGAA